AGAGCCUAUCUAGAGGUAGUUUAAUGUUGGAAGUCAUUUGUAGAUUGUGCAUGUUACAUUGAGGUUAAAAUACUUUUGUUGUUGCACUGUGGACACUAGGCUAUGAAAGUGACAACACAUCUAUGUUAUAUCAUUAAGGGAGUAUAGGUUUAUAUUUAAGUAAAAUACAUGUGCUCUAUAUUACUUUAUUGAAAGUUUGUAAACAAAAUGGCGACACAGUCUGAUAGAGUUUUCUUCUUCGGUUGUGUAUCAUGCAAGAAAAACAAGAAUAUCGAAGAAUAUGCAGUGUAUUACUGUGAAAAAUGUCAACAGUGUUUUUGUAGACAGUGCUGUGAGCUACAUCAUGACUAUUUGUUUAGUGAACAUGUAAAGCACGACCGACUAAAUAUGAGGAACUGGCCAGUCUCAAAGGAGUUGGAGGCUGUUAUACUAAUGUGUGAAAUACACACUCAUAAAAAACUAGAGACGAUCUGCAAAGAUCACAGUCAGCUGUGCUGCUCAAAAUGUGUUUCCUUAAGUCACAGAAAAUGCAAAAAAGUAACACUUAACUCAGCCAAGAAGCAGGCACCAGAAGUACAAGAACUGUUUGAGAAGCUCCUGAUCAAUAUGAGAAAACUGAGGAAACUGCAGAGUUGCUGUGAGUCUGGAAUCCAGGAUCUGAAGAGUUCAUACCAGGGGCAAGAACUCAUGGUACACAAAAUGAACGACAAAAUUAAAUCCACUAUGGCCAAAAUUGUGAGGAGAACUUUAAAGAAAAUACCUAAAGUUGAGCAAAACAAAAUCCAUGAAUUAAUGCAUUCCACUUUGUUUCAUAUAGAAAAUAUUACUUUAAAUGAAGCAAAAAUUACACUAUCAAGUCUUGAAGAUUCUCUCAAGACUGGCGUUGAAACCUGCAUCCGUCAUCAUCAUGAAUUAAAAGCACUCCAUGAACUCCUUCUAUACAGCAGUGACAACAACAACAAGAAACUCUGUAUUAUAGCUAGUCGAAAAUGCAUUGACAAAAUACAACAAGUUGUAUCAUACCUGGAUGAGAACAGUGUUAAACUUGAAUGUUCGGUAUUACAACAGACUAUACAAGGCACUGAGCAGUACAUUGUCAGAUUGUCAGGUCUGGGGAGGCUGAAAGAGAGUAUGAAAGCUCACACUGACAUUGAACAGUACUUGUCUAAACUGUCAGGUCUUAUGAGAGUUGUAGGUCCUAACUAUGUGUUCACUGUCCAGGGAAAGUCUAGGCACACUGUGAGAAUACCAAGUGAUUCAGAAUCAUGCUCUAUCACAGCCAUCUGUGUUCUCCCAGAUGGGCAAGUGCUUCUUGCAGACAGAAAUAAUAAGAAGGUCAAGCUGCUGAACCAGCAGUACCAUGCGGUAAGCCACUUGGAUGUGAGGGCUAAGUCACAGGACAUUUGUCAGAUCACACCCAGUGAGGUUGCAGUGGCUGUGACUUAUAGAAACAUACAUGAGGUCCAGUUUAUCACAGUCAUCCAGGGCCAACUCACUCUUGGCAAGAUGUUUCAGUUACAACAUGGAUGUACAGGUAUUGCCCAUAACCAUGGUGACCUAUAUAUCAGCUCUGGUACUGCUCUGUACAAGUUCACAUUGAGUGGCAAACAAGUCUGCAGACUUUAUAAAGAUACAUCAGCUGAUGAUACAGCUACUGCUCAGCAAAGAAUACAACUGUCUGGUGAAAGGCUCGACCGUAUCAAAGUCCAGUGAUGUCGGGGUACGCGGCCGUUCCAUGUCUAGGGAUUGCAUUUUUGCCGACACUAACAAGGGAGAGAACUGAAGAUCUGCACCUGCAAAGAGCACCAGCCUUGAUAUAGAGUUGGUACGGCAACGACACAAGUCGGGCCCGCUGGAGCCCCAGUCCAGCACGACCCCUCCCCUGACCCCUAGCUCCUCCCAUUUGACCUCCGGCAUCAAAGAGUCAGCAUUGUUUAACAAUUCCAUCCCAUAGCAAUUUCUGAGCACAUAGAGUGUUUGCACAUUUUUCUCAACAAGCGCAAUGUCCGUGUUGAGUCUGCACUUGGGCCCUGAUUGGUUUGAUAGACUCAAGUGCCGGAGGUGGUAGAAGUGUUACAGACAUAAGAAGUUAUUGCAGCAGUUAUGGUAACACUAACAGUCCGCUCUCGCUGUUGGACAUUACAAUGAAUAUUACGAAAAAUACAAAUCUGGAUAACUCAUUCCAUUCUUUUUGUGACAAACAGAACUGCAGCAAGGAACAGGAGAAAAUCACGGAAUGUUUGAAGAGUUUAAGUCAGAAGCGUUAGCUUUCCACCCGGGAUACUCCUGGAUGGUCUUGAUUUAAGGGACAGUCCAGGUUUGUCCUCUCAGGUGUCCAAACUGUCCAAAGAGAAUGCAUUUAUUUUUGACGCAGUUGCUUACAAAGAAAGGCAGUACCGACUUUGUUGUGAACAGUCAAGCAUGGUACUUCCCUGGGGCAUGCCUCAGGUGGGAAUUCCAUCUGCAACAAGGUGCUAAAGGUGAACCCAUCAGGGUGUGUUACUUACCACUUCAAGACAAAACAGCCUGACAUUGAUUCGACGAUAAAGAAGGCGUUGAAAAAUGACAGCAGUUUUGAAGUGUCAUCCAGUUCGCUCUUCGACUCUCAACCCAACGUUAGUUAGAACGCAAACUCAGCAUUUAGCGUUAUCAGCGAGGCUCGAAGGUCAUCUCUGCUUCUUGAGCUUCAGAUGAAAUUAUAAGACAACAAGACGAACAUCCUUGAAUCAUUUCGCACAUAUACUAAAACUCGCUCAAGAAAUUCAGCACGUCACUUAUGAACAUCUUCUCGCAAGGCGGCUACAUCAACGAUUCCAACAGCUGAGCCUUGGUGAGUUCCACUCCUGUCCCGGUGAGUCGCUCAAGGUGAAACAAUCUGAUCCACAGAUAGAGCAGACGCUGAGUGACUCGUCUGUUAACGUGACUGACCUCCAUAUGUUGCUCUCUAAUAAUGUGAACCUGACCCCUGAGGAGCAGUGUUGUCCUACAUUCCCGGUUCAGGGCAGUGACUUUGGCGUCAAGACUCACACAAUCUCUGGCUAUGGCCCUAUCGCAGCAGCAGCAGCAACAAAAACAGGAAGUAUUUCAGCUGCACUCUGGGAAAACAGGGCUUAAUGCAUGUGCCUAUAGUAUUGUCCCAGAUAAAGGUGUUAAGUCUGCCCGCUCUUCUCAGUAAAUCUACACUUCCAACAGUUGAGCCUUGGUGAGUUCAACUUUCAUCCCGAUGAGUCACUCGAGGUCAAACAAUCUGAUCCACAGAUAGAGCAGACGCUGGGUGACUCGUCUGUUAACGUGACUGACCUCCAUAUAUUGCUCUCUAAUAAUGUGAACCUGACGCCUGAGGAGCAGUAUAGUCCUACAUUCCCUGUUCUGGGUGGUGACUUUGGCGUCAAGACUCACACAAUCUCUGGCUAUGGCCCUGUCGCAGCAGCAGCAGCAACAAAAAC